GGGUUGUGAGGUUAAGCGACUAAGCGUACACGGUGGAUGCCCUGGCAGUCAGAGGCGAUGAAGGACGUGCUAAUCUGCGAAAAGCGUCGGUAAGGUGAUAUGAACCGUUAUAACCGGCGAUGUCCGAAUGGGGAAACCCAGUGCAAUUCGUUGCACUAUCGUUAACUGAAUACAUAGGUUAACGAGGCGAACCGGGGGAACUGAAACAUCUAAGUACCCCGAGGAAAAGAAAUCAACCGAGAUUCCCCCAGUAGCGGCGAGCGAACGGGGAGCAGCCCAGAGUCUGAAUCAGCUUGUGUGUUAGUGGAACGGUCUGGAAAGUCCGACGGUACAGGGUGAUAGUCCCGUACACCAAAAUGCACAGGUUGUGAACUCGAAGAGUAGGGCGGGACACGUGGUAUCCUGUCUGAAUAUGGGGGACCAUCCUCCAAGGCUAAAUACUCCUGACUGACCGAUAGUGAACCAGUACCGUGAGGGAAAGGCGAAAAGAACCCCGGCGAGGGGAGUGAAAAAGAACCUGAAACCGUGUACGUACAAGCAGUGGGAGCACCUUCGGGUGUGACUGCGUACCUUUUGUAUAAUGGGUCAGCGACUUAUAUUCUGUAGCAAGGUUAACCGUAUAGGGGAGCCGCAGGGAAACCGAGUCUUAACUGGGCGUUAAGUUGCAGGGUAUAGACCCGAAACCCGGUGAUCUAGCCAUGGGCAGGUUGAAGGUUGGGUAACACUAACUGGAGGACCGAACCGACUAAUGUUGAAAAAUUAGCGGAUGACUUGUGGCUGGGGGUGAAAGGCCAAUCAAACCGGGAGAUAGCUGGUUCUCCCCGAAAGCUAUUUAGGUAGCGCCUCGUGAAUUCAUCUUCGGGGGUAGAGCACUGUUUCGGCUAGGGGGUCAUCCCGACUUACCAACCCGAUGCAAACUACGAAUACCGAAGAAUGUUAUCACGGGAGACACACGGCGGGUGCUAACGUCCGUCGUGAAGAGGGAAACAACCCAGACCGCCAGCUAAGGUCCCAAAGUCAUGGUUAAGUGGGAAACGAUGUGGGAAGGCACAGACAGCCAGGAUGUUGGCUUAGAAGCAGCCAUCAUUUAAAGAAAGCGUAAUAGCUCACUGGUCGAGUCGGCCUGCGCGGAAGAUGUAACGGGGCUAAACCAUGCACCGAAGCUGCGGCAGCGACACUAUGUGUUGUUGGGUAGGGGAGCGUUCUGUAAGCCUGCGAAGGUGUGCUGUGAGGCAUGCUGGAGGUAUCAGAAGUGCGAAUGCUGACAUAAGUAACGAUAAAGCGGGUGAAAAGCCCGCUCGCCGGAAGACCAAGGGUUCCUGUCCAACGUUAAUCGGGGCAGGGUGAGUCGACCCCUAAGGCGAGGCCGAAAGGCGUAGUCGAUGGGAAACAGGUUAAUAUUCCUGUACUUGGUGUUACUGCGAAGGGGGACGGAGAAGGCUAUGUUAGCCGGGCGACGGUUGUCCCGGUUUAAGCAUGUAGGCUGGUUAUCCAGGCAAAUCCGGAUAAUCAAGGCUGAGGUGUGAUGACGAGGCACUACGGUGCUGAAGUAACAAAUGCCCUGCUUCCAGGAAAAGCCUCUAAGCAUCAGGUAACAUCAAAUCGUACCCCAAACCGACACAGGUGGUCAGGUAGAGAAUACCAAGGCGCUUGAGAGAACUCGGGUGAAGGAACUAGGCAAAAUGGUGCCGUAACUUCGGGAGAAGGCACGCUGGUGUGUAGGUGAAGUCCCUGCGGAUGGAGCUGAGACCAGUCGAAGAUACCAGCUGGCUGCAACUGUUUAUUAAAAACACAGCACUGUGCAAACACGAAAGUGGACGUAUACGGUGUGACGCCUGCCCGGUGCCGGAAGGUUAAUUGAUGGGGUUAUCCGUAAGGAGAAGCUCUUGAUCGAAGCCCCGGUAAACGGCGGCCGUAACUAUAACGGUCCUAAGGUAGCGAAAUUCCUUGUCGGGUAAGUUCCGACCUGCACGAAUGGCGUAAUGAUGGCCAGGCUGUCUCCACCCGAGACUCAGUGAAAUUGAACUCGCUGUGAAGAUGCAGUGUACCCGCGGCAAGACGGAAAGACCCCGUGAACCUUUACUAUAGCUUGACACUGAACAUUGAGCCUUGAUGUGUAGGAUAGGUGGGAGGCUUUGAAGCGUGGACGCCAGUCUGCGUGGAGCCAACCUUGAAAUACCACCCUUUAAUGUUUGAUGUUCUAACGUUGGCCCCUGACCGGGGUUGCGGACAGUGUCUGGUGGGUAGUUUGACUGGGGCGGUCUCCUCCCAAAGCGUAACGGAGGAGCACGAAGGUUAGCUAAUCCUGGUCGGACAUCAGGAGGUUAGUGCAAUGGCAUAAGCUAGCUUGACUGCGAGCGUGACGGCGCGAGCAGGUGCGAAAGCAGGUCAUAGUGAUCCGGUGGUUCUGAAUGGAAGGGCCAUCGCUCAACGGAUAAAAGGUACUCCGGGGAUAACAGGCUGAUACCGCCCAAGAGUUCAUAUCGACGGCGGUGUUUGGCACCUCGAUGUCGGCUCAUCACAUCCUGGGGCUGAAGUAGGUCCCAAGGGUAUGGCUGUUCGCCAUUUAAAGUGGUACGCGAGCUGGGUUUAGAACGUCGUGAGACAGUUCGGUCCCUAUCUGCCGUGGGCGCUGGAGAAUUGAGGGGGGCUGCUCCUAGUACGAGAGGACCGGAGUGGACGCAUCACUGGUGUUCGGGUUGUCAUGCCAAUGGCACUGCCCGGUAGCUAAAUGCGGAAGAGAUAAGUGCUGAAAGCAUCUAAGCACGAAACUUGCCCCGAGAUGAGUUCUCCCUGAGACUUUAAGUCUCCUGAAGGAACGUUGAAGACGACGACGUUGAUAGGCCGGGUGUGUAAGCGCAGCGAUGCGUUGAGCUAACCGGUACUAAUGAACCGUGAGGCUUAACCUUACAACGCCGAAG
rnacentral:rRNA from 1 species